UUCCAGGUUUUGGCUAUUACAAACAAUGCUGCUAAUUUAUAAUUUAUUUAAAAGCAAAUGAAGCCACACAUAACCAAAGCUCUUUCCUACAAUACUAAAGUGGGUUUUCCAUCUGAGAUUGAGUGUGUAACCUCUGGCUUCUUUUCUUCUAGCUGUAUAAUCUUGGAGAUAAGAAAGUCAAUUGAAGGGUUUGGGAAGAUAGUUCAAGGAAUAAAGAAUCUGCUGUGCAAAUGUGAGGACCUGACUUCAGAUUCCCAGCUCCCACAGAAAAUGUGGGUGUGAUGGUGUGCAUCUGGAACCCUGGCAUUGCUGGGGAAGACUCUGAGGCAGAUGGAAACAGAUCUCCACAACUCUCUGCCCACUCUACCCAAUCAGCACUAGGCAGUCAAAGUGCACAAAGGAAAACACUCAUAGCCAUAAGACGAAUAAACACUGAAGAAAAGAUAAGGUGGAGAGCGAUAGUGGAAGACAUUGACUCUUGUCCUCUGUGCGUGUCCUGCCCAUGGACACACACAAAUAUGAGACAUAGAUACAAGGGUCUCAAAUGCAAGGCUGCCAUUAGGGCUUUAAAAGAGAUGCCAUCAGAUGGAAAUCCCUCAUCUUCUUAACCCUGAAGCCACAUGACCUGCCAGCAAUGGCCCAUUUUCCUCUGCUGGGGUGAAGGAGCAUAGCAGGUUCCCUGCGUAUGAGCCUCCACCCACAUUAUUUACCUUCCCAGUGAAAUGGUAGCAGAGUCUUUGCCACCAUAUCCAGCACCAAAUACUGUGAAAGAGUGGCUUUGAAGCUGUCAAGAGCUGGAGAUGAGGCAUUCCAUGAAACGCGGCCUUCCAUGGCUGCUGGAAUCAUGAACACACAGCAUACGGAUACCCAGAAAAGACUGGCCCUUCUGCAUUCCAUUGCAGACAGGAAAGCGACCUGCAAGGCCCUUCCUGUGGAGUUGCUGACUGCUAAUGGUUAGCAGGUUGGGGGACGGGGUGCCACUUUCUUCAGUGGUAGAACCACUGGAUUCUGGGGAGAAGAAGAGUGGGUUCACAAGGAAAGGGGUAACAGAGGGUAAUGGGAGCUAAUUGUAAGCACAAUACACUGCAUAUCUAUACAAAACUCUCAAAAAAUAAAUAUAAUUGGUUUAACUAAAACAAAACUGGGGCUUCGUACAUGCCAGGCAAGUGUUCUACCACUGAGUCCUAUCCCUAAUCUCAUUGCUUCUCAGUGAAAUCAUUAAUAACAAGUGUAAAAGCAGAGUCGACUUUAAAUAAUUUUUAAAAUAAUUUCAAAGGAGUGGUGAAUAUAAAGAAUACUAUAGGAUAAAAAUCUCCAGUGCCAGCCGGGUGGUGGUGGCGCACGCCUUUAAUCCCAGCACUCGGGAGGCAGAGGCAGGCGGAUCUC